AAAAUCUAAAUAUGGCAAACAAUGAAUGAGAAUCCAAAGAUAGGGUUAUCUUUGGAUUUUCAUUUAUUGUUUUCCAUCUUUGGGAUUUCAU
rnacentral:pre_miRNA from 1 species